AUUGAUGCUGUGCCUAGCAUCUUGCUGUAAAUACUGUAUAAUGACUCUGUGUGAAUAGGUUUGGUUCAUAUCCACAAUGGAGAACAAACCUUUCAAGUCAGCAAAUUAAAGAUGUUUACUCAUUUUC